ACCAUUCGAUUCUUUGGUGUUGUAUAUGAUGCAUGACAUCCUGUGCCCACCAUUUCUCUGAUUACUGAGUUUUUAAUAAAUGUUGUCUCGCCUUGUCUUGUUUACUGCUUUUCUAAGGCAUCGCAUUUCACAUGUUGUAAUUCUUUGCUCUAAUGUCUUGUUCGUGGUUUUCGUAGCCAAUAAAAAUGCAGAUAGUCCACUGAUUGGUUUGCUUGCUAGUCGUACUUCACCUGCUUCGUUCUUUUUUCAAGUGGAUGUGUGGACGAGGAACUUUGCAACCACAUCCGGGAAAUUCGCUAUACUGAGAGAUCAUCUUAUUUCGUUGUAUGUAGAUUAUUAAACACAUUUAAAAACUGAUCUUUCUUCCAAGGGAAACCUGUAUAAUUUGCAGCUGCAAUCACUUUGUCAACUAUUUUAUUUAUCUCCCUCCCAGCUCUAUUUCCAAAAGUAGACCGACCAGAGACAUCGUUGGCAAGAGGUUUUCUGGGAACACUAAAUUCUCGGGCUGCUCCAGAGCAGCUUUGUUCACCUUAAACAGCAUAUUAUAAACAGCUUUCUCCAAAUCACUUUAUACAGUUUGGCAUUCUUGUUAUUGAUUUCCUUGCUUGUUUUUCCCAUAAUAAUAGUGGUAAAUCAAACUAAAAUAACAAAUUUUUAAUGGGAAUUCAAUAGACCUGCGUGACGAAUUUCUCUGACAAUAGAGGCAAAUUUCCGGGACAAGGUGUAGAUCUGUGCAAACACAAUUUUUAAACAGUAGAAGGCAUACAAACGACAAUAAAAUGCAGCAAAUAUAAUGUUGAAUCAAUAAAUCAGUUUCCACACAAUUAAAAUUUGAGUAAAAAGUCUUGUACACGUACAGCAACGGUAGUCAGAAAGAUAAAAAAAUAGCGCAGGCGUAGCAGCGAUAGGGCAAGAGAGUAGGAAAGGGAAGCUUAGCGGGAGAACGCAUGUUUAGAAAACCGCCAUUUUUCUUCGGCUUGACAAUUAAUUUUUCUGAUAGGUUGAUCAAUUUUGAUAAAGAAUUGUUUCUGGUCUCAAGUAACUAGGCACUUAUUAAAUUCUUCCUUGGUGGGCAUAUCGAAUUAUUCCCAUUUUAAAUUGGUAAAAGGGGGGGGGGGGGCAGGCUGCGAAUCCCACCCCUCGGGCGAAGUUACCCGACUCAACUCUACAUUUGUUGGGGGGUGACAAAAUUUGUGCAAUCUCUCUCUUGUGAAAAAUAUAGUUUUUAGAAAUGUUUCUGUCAUUGACCUACUACAGUGUGUUUUAAUUUUUAAAAAUUAAAAAAAAAAUGUUUUGUGUGCCCCCCUACCCCCCCCCCCCCUCAUGUCCUAUGGACACAAUUGACAUAAUUUAGGAGUCGGGCUUCCGACCCUGUGUUUCAGGGCCGUCCCGGGCCGAGAGGGAUAAAACAACCCUGUAGAAAGACCGAGAUACUUGAUAAAAAUUCUCCCCAACCAAGAAUCGAACUCGUGUUUCCUGCGUGAGACAGCGAAGCACCUAAGCGCUGGACAGCAGACACAGGUAGAGUGUUUUAAAGUAUUUUUGGCAACUAAAAUAAAUUACGAAAACGAAAUUUGUGUUCCCGAUUUGGGUUUCCCUGUCCUGCAACCCUCUAUUCUCCACCACUACCAACGCCAGCUUUCCCGUGAAAACGUCUUUUGUCGAAAAUGGCCUAGAAACACCCACCCUCCCCUACUCAAACAGUUACCCGCCGUCCCGCUACCCAGAAAAAAUGAUCUCCUUAGAAAACGGUUGUGAAUAGCCGAAAUAGCUAAAGUUUUGUUAAAGGAACCCCGCCUCUUUUCUUGUAGCAGUUGGUGUUUAUUUAAAAGUUGACAGAAGCCAUCUCAACGCCUGUCUCUUUCAGAGCUUGGCUGCAGCGACUACUGUACUUUGUUAAGCAGUAUUUGAACGUGUGGCUCGGGACGAUGGCAAACUACCGGCGUCUUACUGUUGCUCUGCUUACUGUACUCUUUUUGCCAAUGAUUUGCAGAGCUUGUUCUAAGUCAUCGCCCAGGCCGAUAGAGUAUGAAAAAAAGCUGUGUAAAUACAGAACGCAAAUCAUGACUGGCUUUCCAAACGAAACCAUAUCUGAGCAGUCUUUGAAAAAUCCCUCGUGUUCUACGGCAUUCUCUUCCGUCUUUGAAACCAAGACCUCUGUGGAAGACUGGUCGAAAGUGCUUGAUAAGAAGAACAGGUGGGCAUCUUGUCCUCAGGGUCAUUUCUUGCAAGGAUUCAAGUUCAUAAAAGGGGGGUCAGGCGUGUCGUCGCUGGAAGGGGGGUGGUGUGUGAAAUUCAACAAGUUGUCGAACGUGUACGACCACUGUUAUCUUCAACACACUAAGACAUCCACAAACUGCAGCGUUGACUACUUUCUGACAGGUAUCUACCGGGGGGACUGUUCGGACUGGGCCUGCAUAUCCAAAUUGCAGUGCUGUACCAUGACAUCUUCCUUUACGGUAGAUUCUGUUGAAACUGGUAAGGAAAAAGUCAUGAUGCAGUCUCUUAAUGGACUGGCUCAACUAGCGUCGAGUUUGGGCUACAAUGGGGUCAAGGGUUGUGAUGGAGAACUGCCUGGAGACAACUUUGAGAAACAUGGAUACUCCUGGGUCGCAACGAAGUGUGCGGGAGAUAACAGUCCCAAGUUGAAAACCACGUUUGAUGACUGGUCAGUCAGCCUGAAUGAUAUCAAAUACUCGCAAGCUAAGACAACUGAGCUAUUACCACAGACAAUAGACAGGGGCGUUUUGGUGAAUGACAGUCCCACGACAGUUACCGAAAAGAUAAUCAGAAAUGAUAAAAGUAUCCGUACUGUGACACACUCGCUAACAAGUUCUUGGAAAGUAUCUGUUGGCUUUGAAAUGGAAGUGACAUACGAACCUCCACUUUUCACUGGAGGAGUAGGGGGUAAAUUCAGCUUUAGCAUAAAUACGGAGACAGGAAAAGAAACACACGAUGGAACUGAGAACUCCCUAGAUCGGUCGAUUCAGGUGGAGAGGGAGAAAACAAUGGGACCUUAUUCGGCAUCUGAAUGGGUGGCCAGGAUGUAUAAAACCCGCACAACACAGUAUUACAGGGCAACAUAUCGCCUCGGGUGCUCGGUCCAGUUUGAUGGGGAUCUACGGAAUAUCAACUAUCACAAAACUACACUGGACAGUCUGCUAGCAAUGUCAAGUAUCAGUUUGGCGAUGAAGACAAGCCGUUUUACGUUGCUGUGAAAGAGGAGAGGGACCACUGGCACGAUCCUUGGUUGUGGGGUGUUUUGAUCGAACAAAACCCGUGGGUGAACAACAUCGUGGCAUAUCUGGCGUCAACAGAGCAGUAUGAGAUAGUGCUGGAAGGAAAAUUUGAUGACAUUCAGGGAUACAGAGUAGAAAUAGAAUUUGGCAACCACACUGACUUGCCCCGAUCGGAACUCAAUGGUGCUCACGCCGUGCCUAGUGUACAUUUCAGAAGGGAAGUGGGAAAAGGACAUGACAAAGUCAUUGUCGCAAAAGAGGGACCCCGAGACGCUCCUUCUGGCUUUACGCCCGUUUUCAACGAAAAGAGGGACGCAAAUUCUUUUCUUGAAGGAGCAACGGAAAUACCAACUACCUGAUUCUCCAUCUUCUACCGGACUGGUCAAUACAAGUAGCUACUGUUGCUGUCGAAAUGAUGACGUUUAAAUUCCUUUCAAUAUUCAAGUCAAGUUCAAAUAAGUAAACGAACGUGUCACUUUGUAUUUUUUUAAAUUAAAAAAACCCAAACAUUCCACGGGCAAAACAAUAUGUGUUGUUUUCGUGCCGUUUUGCUUCCAUAUUGUGAAUUUGCAUUACAUUCAAAGGUUGAAGUGCCAUAAAACUAAAACAAGGGAUCUCAAGGUCACAGAAAACAAAUUGCCUACUUAUAAUUUGUGAUAUGGAAAUGGAAUGUUGAAAAUUUCACUCUCAUUGUGUCAUUAUUUUAAAAUGUUUGUUAGUGAUGAAUGCAACCUAAGAAACUAAAUAUGUCUGACAAUGCAAUUUUUGACACUUUAGUGACAGCUGGCGCUCAUAUCACCUUAUGCAGUUACGAGCGCCGUAAAACCUCUACUAAAACUUUUUAAAAACACAACUUUAGUGACAGUAUUGGUCUAAUUAAUUUCUAACACAUCUAGCUUUUGGUGUAUGUCUUUGCAACAUAUGUUUUGAAAAUAUAAAUAUUUGCUUUAUUCAUACAAAAAUAUUUUAGUUCUCUAGAUAUCAGAUAAUGUGAAAUAUUUUUAGUCACUAGAAGAUAACUUUAGAACAUAAUAUAACCUUUUCCCGAUGUUGAUGAAACUAAUAUCGAAUUUCUCGUUUCUACUAGUGGUUUCUGAUAGAAAUAGAAAAUGUUCAACCAAUUUAAAAAUCACAAAUGGUACCUUAUGAUUUUUACAACAAGCAAGUUUGUUUGGCUUCAUGUACAUAUGUAUGGUUUUUUUUCUCCUAAAAAUAGUGAAUACCAUAGCAGGUCGGCUUAGAGUCCUGGCACGAUGCAGAGACGGUGUACCACAGAGACAGCUUAGUUAAAUAUUUUCCUCAGUAAAGCGGCUCUCUUUGGUUCCCUCGCGACUCUUACAAACGACGUACAGACUGAAGACGGGAAAAGCCUGUCACUCUGGGUUCCACUUUACAUUGUAGUUCUUUGGUUUUGGGGCUUACUCUAAAAGAUUUCCAAGUGCAUUUCAGUCAGGUUUUUAGUGAAAUGACUAUUUUUUUGGACAACUUGCAAUGUAGACUUGAUUAAUUGUUUGUUUCUAUGGGAAUAAAUUGAGUGAAAGGCAGUACUUAAAGAAUACUAGUUUCUGGAAAGGAGAUCUUAAUUUUUUUUUCUCGAAAUUGUGGACUCCAUUCAGCUCUAUUUUUUUCAAAACCCGAAAUAUUGACGAGACAGUCUCUAGGUAUUCUGCUAUCUCGUAAAAUCAAGCCUGAGAGAAAAGUAAGAUUUUAAGCUUUUGUUGUUUAGAAACAAAAAAGGGAACCAAAUAUAUUAGUGACAAAAGCUUCGAACUUCGUCAUUUCGACGAAAGCUGGCAGAACCUUAAAGGACUUCAGAAGUAUUUCGUUCCGAGAUGAGGAAAAAUCGAAAGUUGCUUUUAGGUAUUCGACAACGUUUUGAUACCCCUUUCCAAUCGGUUUCUCAAUUUGAGCCUGUCCCCAAUUAUUCCUCAAUAGAGAAUAGCUUAAGUAAGACAUCUUCCUCCUCCCUGGCCUGGUGGGAUAACCAUGUAUUAUGAAGCAACACUCCUGUUUGUACUCUAACCAAUUGUUGAGCAACUUUGAAACCAGCAAGUAAACAUCAAUAUUGCAAAAUGCUAAUUCAAUUUAUGAAGUUAAUGCUUAUUUACUUAAAAAACGUAAGAGUACCUAAAGGCCCCUACUUGAUAUUUCGUGUAGCUCUCACGACUUCAUCACUCCUUCUCUCUUUCUUAUGUGACAACCGUGAUUUCCCCCACGGCAUGCUAUAGUGACAGUGGCCUGUUUCUUGUUGCUCACCUAUGAAUUGUUUUGUUGUGGUGUAAGUUGUGAGUGUCCUCCCUUGCACGCGCAUUCGUCUAUGUGAGUGUGUGUCCUCGCGUGUUUGUGCGUUUACACAAGUGCGUUUGUGUCUUCAAAAUAAUGCACAUUGUUCAUGUUAAACUUUCUUAUGAUGUGCUGUGCUUAUGGCUACGUUUUACCGGCGAGGUUUUAAAUUUUUUUUUUUGAUUUAAAGUACAGAUUAUGUAGUAAAAUAUUAAUCCACUGGAAUUGAGGAACGAAAUGUGCACAAAAGUAAGCCCUGGACAUAGGGUUUCGGAUAUCUUAAGGCUAAAGCUAUGUGUUUUACCUGCAAACACAAUGAAUAGCCUAUAUGUGCAAAAUAUACUGCAAUUUUAGAUUAAGUUCCAUUUCCCAUUGUCUUUUCCUCUUAGUUUUUGUGUGUUGCACUAGAGUAUAUUAUAUUAAGGUGUAGUUCUUUUCCUUCCUAGGGCUUAUUAAAUACAUUAAAACAA